rnacentral:rRNA from 1 species
GACGAACGCUGGCGGCGUGCUUAACACAUGCAAGUCGAACGGAAAGGCCUUGCUUUUGUGGCGUGCACGCGUGGCGAACACGUGUGUAACACGUGUGUAACCUCCCCUUUACUUUGGGAUAACUUCAGGAAACUCGGGCUAAUACCGCAUAGGAGCUCCUGCUGCAUUGUGGGGGUUGGAAAGUUUCGGCGGUUCGGGAUGGACUCGCGGCUUAUCAGCUUGUUGGUGGGGUAGUGGCUUACCAAGGCUUUGACGGGUAGCCGGCCUGAGAGGGUGACCGGCCACAUUGGGACUGAGAUACGGCCCAGACUCCUACGGGAGGCAGCAGUGGGGAAUAUUGCACAAUGGGCGGAAGCCUGAUGCAGCAACGCCGCGUGCGGGAUGACGGCCUUCGGGUUGUAAACCGCUUUCGCCUGGGACGAAGCGUGAGUGACGGUAAUGGGAAAAGAAGCACCGGCUAACUACGUG